GACAGCGCGCCGGGCGAGUCUGCUGGAGCUGCCUCUGCGGCCCCUGUCCUCACCCCUGAGGAGGCCAGGCCCGGGCAGGUGCCUGGGCUGGGGCUGCUCCUGGCCAGGCUGGAAGACUGUCAGAUGGAGGACAGGUCAGGUGGUCGGAAAGCUGGGGACAGGGAGGGAGCAGGUUUGACGGAGGGACGUAUGGGCAGGCUCCUCCUCCCGGUCAGGUCCCACGUGACCCCCCAGCCACGCCUACCCACAUCGCCCUGCUGGAGGCCGGGGGCGGGGGGAGCGGGGAGUGGGGGGUGUGGGGGGUGAGGGGGGUGGGGGUGGGGGUGGCCCGGCCCGGAGCUAGGGGGCGGGGCCGUGCUUCUUCUGGCCCUGGCCUCCAAUUGGCUGCCGGGCGUGGGAAAGCGUGCACCACUGCCUGGCGCCCAUAAAGACGCCUCCACCACCUGCGCCGCCGCCGCCUCCCGGCCGCCCUCCGCCCCGCGCGCUCGUUGAGGCCGGUGCUCCAGAGUGAAGAGCGUGGCGGUGCGGCGGUAGCGCAGGGCCCUCCUGCGGGGCCAGGCAGGGGCGGGUGGGCGCUCCUUGCCACCUUUCUGCUCUCCCUGCUGUCCGAGAAGUUCGUGCGGUGCCAGCCCAGCUCCCAGCUGGGGACAGAACAGGAAACGUCCCCGGCGAGCCUGGCGGGGGUGGCGGCAGGGGUGUCUGUCGCCUGCGCUGGGCAGGACGCGCGUCCUACCGGCCUCCCACUCCGCGGGCCUCACCAGCCACCUCAUUCCCGGAGCCCGGGCCGCCGAGAGCGCCGCGGAUGGACCUCAGGGAAGGCCUGGCGCGCCGCCUCCGGGAAGCCUUCCGGCCUUCUCCCUCCACCGAGUACUGGGGAGUCUCAGGCCACGGUGAAUGAAGAGCAACGGGCCGGAGAGACCUCGGCCUCUGCCCAGGAGCAGCGCCCAGCAACCCCGCCCACAGGGGACCCGGUGGACGCCCUGGUGGCCACUUUGCCAGGCUCCCCAUCUCCCAGCGAACCAGAGAGGAUUUCCGUUCCCCUCCUGCUUGGUGCCUAGCGCCAGGGCGGGGCGUGGGCUGAGCAGCCCCUCCCAUGGAGGGAGCGGCCAGUCUACAUAUUGGAGGUGGGGCUCUGGGGAAAGGGUGUUGUUAGGAAGGCGGUUUGAGGCAGCGGGAGGUGGGGAUGCGCCCGGCGGGGAGGCCAGGCCCCGCAGCUGGACCCCGGCUCCGUCCAGCCUGGGAAAGGACUCCACGGUUUAUGCUGAAGUGGUGGUGGGGUGGGUGAACGCUGCGCAAUGGAAGGGCAUGGCCCUGUGCUAAUUGCCCCGGGGUGUGGGGCUGUGGAGGCACUGCGGGGGGGAUGUGCUGUGUCAGUUGGGCAAUGGCGGCCAACUGUGGCGUGCAGGCCUUGGAGCUGCCCCUCCAUGGAGCUUUAAUAAAGGCACUAGCCCUGCAAUUUCUGCCUGAGUUUCUGGCCCACAGCUUGGCCGACUGCAGCCCCUGAGAUUGGAGGCUUCUGCUCAAGACGUGGGCAGGGAGCUCGGGGCUCCCUGGGCUGGGGCCCUGCCCCGCUGGCCUCUACCCUGGCCCCUGCUGGAAAGCCCGUCAGGGCUGCUCUGAGCUGGGGACAGCUCCUCCCUGCCCACAGCAAUCUGGGGGAGCCCCGGUUUGUCCAGUGCCCCUGUGAGCCCUGCUGUGUACCAGCCACCUGUGGGAGUGUCCGCCAGUCACCUCCCAAUAGCUCGGGAGGCAGAGCGACAUGACUCCAUUUUAGAGAUGAGCAAACGGGGCUCCUGCACUCUGGGACCAUGACAGAGACACAGGAAGUGAGAGUGGGCUGAGGCCCUGCAGCAGUGGGGGCCGGCCUUGGACCGUGAUCCAACCCGACCAUGGCUGCCCAACCCCCACGGGCUCACCUGGCCCCUCAUCGAACCAUGUAUUACCCGAAUAAUUUAUUCUAGUGUCUGGGCCCAGCCCCGUGUCCCUCACUGACAACCAGACCAUGGAGGGCAGCCCUUGUGUUUUCCCAGGGGGAGGGGAGGGAGGAGGGGGUGGAUUCUUAAAGGGCUGCAGUGAGUGUGGCCCCAAAUGCACACCCAGGGUUAGGCACGCAGGUGAUGGCACAGGGAGCCCAGGUUCUAGGAAGUGGCACCUGCGGCCGGGGAGGCAGGGCCUGGAUUUUGCUGCCCCCUGGUGGCUAGCGGCCUGUCCAGGCAAAAGGCUUGGACCUGCAGCCCCUGUGGCUCAGAGGAAGAGACAGAGGAAGAGACAGACAGAGGUCUGAGGUCUCCCAUCAGAAGUCUCAGCUCCCAAGGCAAAUUCAGAGGUGGAGGGUCCCUUGGCCCUGUCCCAGCUCUGGCAGGGCGGCCCCCCACGUCCUGGCCUGCUGCCAGGGGUCGCGCCCACAGCCCUGCACCGAGCAGGGAAGGCCCAGGCCUGGGUGGGUCUUUCCGCAGGAUCCUGGGAUGUUGCUUAGGGGAAGCCGAGACCAGACGGGCAGUCACCUGUCUGGGAAAGCACCAGGCCCUGGCCGGGUGCGAUGGAUCACGCCUGUCAUCCCAGCAGUGUGGGAGGCCGAGGCGGGAAGAUCACGA
rnacentral:lncRNA from 1 species